rnacentral:tRNA from 2 species
GGGCUAGUAGCUUAAUUGGUCAAAGCGCACGCCUCGGACUGAAAAUCUACAAGUGAGAUCUGAGGUUCGAAUCCCAGCGGCCCA